GUGUUACACUUGAUUGAUGAAUUUAGGUAAGAUUUUUGUUGAAAACAUUAUUUGCUGAUGCC
rnacentral:snoRNA from 1 species